rnacentral:lncRNA from 1 species
CCAGCCGCCGCUGCCCCACCCAUGUUUCUCCUCCACCCCCUCCUCCCUCCUCACCUCCCGGACCAGCCACCGUCGCGCCGCUGGGGUUCGUCCGCCGCGGGUUUCCACGGGGAAGGAGAAGCGACGGGGGUAGGCCCCAAGCGGCGCACACUUCAUGGGGAGGCAAGGAACUAGGAGGUGAUGGGGUCGGAUCUUGUGGUGCUAGGUCGGAGCUCGAUCCCUCGCCUCCCGAACCAGCCGUCGCCGCGCUGCUGGGCUUGGGUUUCCAUGGGGAAUCACUACACAGCAGCACGCCUCCCUCCUUCAUCAUCGUCAUCAGAGCCGCCGCACCUCUCCUUCCUCCUCACUCGCACCCCUGCUGCGGCGCGCAUCCCCCCCCUUUCGAUCUAAUUUCAUUCUUGUUUCACAUUUGGUUUGGUUGGCAAGAGACGUUGCCGUGCCGACUGCAGUAGCCAGGGUUGGCGUUGGUGAUGUCUGUAGGUAUUUUCGUCCUCGCCAGUCACACAUUUACUAGGUUUGGUCAAUGUCUCUGGAGCUAAUGUAUUAUCCUCUGAUUUCUCCUAUAUUUCCCUUCCUGAUUUUGUUUGAUGAUUUGCCAGGUUAUGGGACUGGAUCUCCCUUUUCUAAGAUUCUUAGCUGAUAAGUAUAUUGUGCAGAAAAGUCUCUACAGAAUGAUGUUGUGCACAUCCAAAUCCAAGCAAUGUAAGUGACCUAGCAUUUCACUGGUGGUAUGGUACAUCUCAUACAAUUUCUGAAUUCCAAUACCGUUCAUGUGUAGUUGGAUACUCCAUGGGGCAAAGUUGAAGCUUUGUACAUCACUUCUCUCCAUGUUUAUUAAUGUUUCUUCAUGUUUGGCAGUGAUAUGGGUUUCCAUGUACUUUAUAUAUGCAUUCCUUGUGUUCCAUCUAUGUAUAUAUGUUUCUGCCCAUAAAUGUAUUUAUGAGCUGACUCCAUUUUUUACUGCUUUUCUGUGGCAAUUUGAAAAGGACCCUUAAAUGGUGCUCAGCCACCAUCCGAUUUCGAGGGAGAAUAGGAGACCCCGACGAAAAUGAGCGUCCUAGCAGCGAACCCAAGGAUGCCGGUGAUUACGGCAGGUCCAUGCUCCUGUUCUUCUAUUGGGUGAGCUUCUUCACUCUUCUUGUCAAGGAGAUGUUCAUGUCUAGCAAGGUUCCUACAAAGAGGAUUCUUUUUGUUUCUUCAGUUGACCAGAUGCUCGGAUCUAGCUAGGCUUUCAUAUAGAAAAUUUGUCCUCUUUUUAAGUUUGUUGGGUACCUCAGCUUAGUUUUUGCAAAGUGGAUUUUUGUUUGUUACUGCUCAGGAGAUGCUCUCGGAUCUAGCUAUAUUCCUAGAAGUUUUUUUGUUGGCUUUCUUGGUUUGUUUGGUACCUAGAUCUUUCCUCGUCGAGAAGGGGAUAGAUUUGUCGUGGAGCUCCUUUUCUCUUUAUAGAGGAGUCUUUUGUUCCUUUUCUUGAUUUGGUGCCUGGCGUGGGUAACGGGGACAGGCGACCACGGGCGGAUUUUGGGGAGGCGCCAAGGUGAGCUUCCCCACCGCUCUUCAUCUCUCUCUACACACGUCUAUGCAAGAUUUUUGUAGCGCAAAUGCCCCCGUACCAUGUAAGCCUUCCCUUUCCCUUUUCAUCAUCAUGGAAAGACAUGGAUUGUAAGAGGUGCCAUUCAUCAGUAGAUAUUCAACCAUUGCCAUUCCCUUCUCAACAUCACAAGAGGAUACCUCUGUAGCUAAUGCACACCAUUAGUUUGAUAUAUACUGUAUUAGUGAAAUUACUUAUACAGACCAUUGACUGGUGUGUAGGGAGCCCUUCUAAUUGGUGAUCUAUGUGUGUUUUCUUUUCUUUUUUGCUGUAGCAGCCUAGCAGGCAUGGUUUAACCAUAGGCUUCCAGUUACUCUAUGUUUUGGGUGUCAAAUAAAUAGGCCGUUUUAGGCUAUGCCUUACAUUCUUUUCAUACUCUGCAAAUUAAUAUCAUCCAUUUUAAACCACAGGCUACGCCCCCAAUGGUGAAAAUCCCCUACAGAAUGGUGCUGGAUGUCCUUUUAGAAUCUUUGGGCCUGCCAGUGGCUGAGUAUCGAACCAAAGCAUGCGACCUCUUUGAAGUGCAGCACCAUCCUACCCCCUUUGGCCCUUCCCGUCCAGUUUUGCCUCACCAUGUAAGCAUCCAUCUGCUCCUCCUCUAGCUCUCGUCCUCCUGCUUCUUCUCCUGGGUGGACAUGGACACUGAACCAUGCUGGAAUGAGCUCGGAAUUGUCCCUUCCAUUCUCCCCAUUUAGCUCAUUUUUUCCCGUGCAGAGGAGGAAGACGGGAGCUGCCUACCUGCCUGCUACCCCAAAAGGAUGCGCCACCCAGUCAGCCGAGUGAUGGUAGAUCCAAGUGGAAAUGGCUCUGGUGAGCUUAUGUGUAAAAAAAUCUCACAAUGUUUAUGAAUUUCAGAAUUAGCAGCAUUUGUUGUUGUGCAUUACCGGAUUUGCUAACAAACAGUCUCUUUUGUUAUUGAUUGAUUUGCAGGCUCACUGGUUUUGGUUCAGUUUGAAGGGCUCUCGGGGCAAAAGAUAAUUGAGUUGUUGAAUCUAAAUAUUAGUCAGUACAAACUUCUAUCUGUAAAGUUUAGAUACAAUUAUGUGUCUUGAAUUAUUUUUAUUUCCUGUUUCUUAUGCUAGGCCUAAGAUAGGUGUAUUUGCUGUUUAGGUUGGUUCUAAACUACAUGUUUCCUAAUUUUAUAGUUUUUUAGCUUUCAGAAAAACUAUAAAAUUAGGAAACAUGUAGUUCAGAAUAAAGAAUGAAAGGCUAAAUUCUUAUUUCAGGAUUACACUCAUGACUUUCAGACUGCUGAACAUAUUUGAUACAUCUUCCACCUCUCCGCUACUACCACCAAGCAUGGAAAGACUGCGGUUGCAGUAGCGACAAUGACUCGUUUCACUCUUUGUCUCAUGAUGAUUGGUUGGCUGCAGGGGCACCGCGAGGAGUGGAGGAUCGAGGUCGUGGGUUGCCAGCUUCAAAUUUUGGUUGAGCACUUCCUCAAUAAUCUUGUUGAGGUGUCUGUUUCCCCUCUUUGUAUCAUGAAUGAUUGUGUUGGCUGUAGGGUCUCCGCAAGGAGUUGAAGGCUGAGGUCAUGGUUGCCAGCUUCAAUUUUUUGCUGAGCAAUUCCUCAAGAGUCUUGCCAAGGUGCUCUCCUCUCACUUUUUCUCUUACUUCCUCCCCUCCCAUCGCUAAUGUUUAAACUUACUAAUAUAUUAGUUUUUAAACAUUACGUGUGCAGAUCUGAGGAUGAAGGGAAGAAGAAGAAUUUAACUAAAGAGUUCAAGAAGAUGAAGGUGAAUUUUCUUCCCUUUGUUCUUCUAUUCUGAUGUUAAGAUUUGUGAUGGCUAGAUGAGAUUUCUGGUGAAAAUUUCCCAUUCUUUUAUUUACCUACAGAUCUUGAAUGCACGAUUGAUGAUUUUGCUGGAUAGGUUACAAAUCUAAAUAAUAAACAUUUUUAAGUGAUGUGGUUGGUACACAUGCGAAGCUAAGAAAAUAUAUAGUUUACUCACAGUGUUGUUUGAUCCAUUGUUGUGUGACACGCUCGCUGAUGGUCUGGCAAUGCUGCAUAUACAUCUGAAUGCCAAUGAUAGUAUGGUUUAGAUAGACAAGUUAAUAAUUUCUUUUUCUUCAUCAAGUUUAUGCUUCCAUUGAUCUACAUUUAAUUUAAUUCACAAACCAGACACCCUUUGGAGUAGCCAAUGUGUAUCUCUGAAUCUUGGCACUUGGGUGUUAUAUGUAUUUCAUUGGUUCAUCGCUCACUGUAGCAAUGCACGGGCCAAAGACAAUCGGCAAUAAAAACAAUCUGCUUGCAAGUUCUAUAUUACCAGCGGAGGCUUUGCCAAGAGGAAGGGUAAUUCGUGCAGGGAAUAAACCUUACAUGGUAAUCAAGGGGAACAUGCUUUAUAAGUUGAGCUUUUUGUAAGCUAAGCUAUGUUUUUCAACCCGUUGUUCUUUAGAUAUCUUCCUUUUACAUUUUUUAUAUGCGAUGGUUAGUUGAUCAGGCUGAGUGCUUCUUUGCAGUGCUUGCUUUAUUGGAACAUGUUCAUUUGGCUAAUAAAACAGUACACAUCUCUCUUGAAUUAUGUGCAUCUCCUUUUUAGUUAUUUGAUUUUUUAGUGACUCGCUAAUUGGAAAAUCAGGAUGCUAAAACUUGGCAUAAUGAAUUCUUGAAUUACGUACUUCUUAUUGUGCAUGUCAAACUGAGGACUAAAUAUAUUUUUAGUUGAGCUAUUGUUUUGAGUAUUUCCCUGCAACAACUUAAAUUACUUUUUGCAAAUAAAAUGAGCUAGCAUAUGCUAUACUUGCAAUGGUAAAUUAAUUAUGCAGUUAUGAGGAUUGAGGAAAUUAAUGGUCAGUCAAUCAUUGAGGGUUUGAAAGAGCCAUCAAGGCAACGAUCUCAUUUCAUCUCAUGCACUGAUUUUGUUAUCUUCUUUAUAUGGCAUUUUAUUAAUUAUUUAUAUAUAUUUGCCGUAUUGCUGUUUCUAAAAAUUGCUGUAUCCUUUGUCCCCAUUUCCGUAUCGCCGUAUCUGUGUUGCCGGUGCACCAUAGCAAUUAAUUAUUGAAGAAAAAUGCCCCUUUUCUUGUCCCAUUGCUCGAUAAGCAUGAUCGCAUUUCCACCGAUUGAUUAUAAAUAUGGCCUUUCUUUUGAUUAUUUGGUGGUACUUCUGAUUGGCACUAUGAGGUGCUUCUUCGUCGUGUAGAUUCAUCCUUUACUUAAAUAUUGAUGAUGAUAUGGUUGUAAAUUAGUCUGGUAUAUGCCAAUAGUUGUCUCUCCCAGAAGAAUUUUUGUGAGAAUAGCGUACCUAAAGAGUUGGUUGUUUGUCUGGAUUGAACACCCAGCUAUAAGAAUGGGUUGACAACACCGAUUGACUCUAUUGGCGCUUCUAUGUUGUCCGGCUUCAUCAUUUACUUAUACACUGAUGAUAUUGUUGUCAGCGUGUUGUAAGUACUUUGGGAAACAAGUCUGGUAUAUUACAAUGAUGUAGUCCUGCAGAUCAGUACAGGUCACUGGCUUUAUAUUGUGGUCAGUGUGUUGUAAGUACUUUGGGAAACAAGUUCUGGGGUAAAUUUAUCUGCUUGCUCAUGCAUUUUAAUACUUGAUUGAUGUCUUGAUAAUUUGUGAAGUUCUGUGUACCAUGUGAUAAGCUGCACAUCAGGUUGCAUGGCAGCUUGUUUGUUUCUUUUAGGAUGUGCAUGUACCCAGGUGGAUCAAAUAUAGAUACCAAUCAUAUAUUAUUAUUUUUACUCAUGUGUUUUUCUUGUGCCUCCCAAACAUUUCGAGGGAUUAUAUAUAUCAUUCAGAUGUAUUCAGGCUGGGUUUCUAUGAUCCAAAAAAAUCAUCUGCCAUGGCUUUCUUUUUACAUACAAAACUAAGUGUGGAGCAGUGUAUAACUAUAUAUGUUCAUUGUUUUCUUAUCACAUCGCAUUUGUCGGAGGUGUUGUACUGAUUUGAAGGAAAUGCUUUUAUAUUUCCAAGUUGAUCAACUACACAACUUCUGAUCCUAAAGCCUUUCUUUAAAAGGGGCUGGUCAAUGCAGCUCCAUGUUGUGCUAUCUUGCUAUUGGGCUCUUUUUUCGUUACUUAAAAUGGUCAGAUAUCUCUGAUGUUAAAUUCGUGGUUGAUUGCUUAUAUCCAAAAGAACUAUGUUAGUACACUGAAGCCAAUUUCUACAUUGUUAGUGAAGUUGGCUAAAUAGUUUUUGCGCCACUAAGAUAUAUAUGUGCACUGCAUUCUAACCAUGUAAAUUGUUGUGCUAUUAGUUUAAUCCGGAAUAUAAUUAUGUUAGUACACUCUGCAAUAUAAUUAUGUUAUAUUCUGCUUUUGUCAGUUUGCUGGUCCAUACUAAUUUCCUCGAGCUUAUUUUCACAUCUCGUCAUAUUUACACCUCUCCGCCGACUGCCACCUAUCAUGGAGGGAGAUGGCUUGGCCAGGCCGUCAACACUCAUCGGCAACUUCGGGCAGGCACCGCCCCGUUCUUCCUCCCCUUACUCUGAUGCCUUCAUGGCCAAAAUCAUUAGUAGAAGCAAGAAGGUUAAGCACCGAUUAUGGUUAAAGCUUUGUCUCUUUUAUGUACUAUGCAUGAUUGAUCUGAUUUUGCUGGUUAGCUUACAAAUUCAAGUAAUACGACUAUUGCAAUGCAUAUUACUACGUGUGUAUUUAUUUCCAUUGAUAUUUUCUCCUCCUUAGGCUCCAAAUCGUUUGUGGGUCAUAAAUGAUUGUGCAUUAUUGAUGAUUAAUGUGCAAUUUAAGUGACAACAGGGCUGGGUUUUAUAAGUGCAAUGGCUUGAAAUGUGACCUUCCAGUCAAGAAAUUUCCACAGUGAGAAGCUUAUGUGAAGAAUGAUGUAAUUAAGUUAGCAAUUUACAGUUCUCUUUCAUAAUUGUAACUGAAUUGUCAAUGGCCAGUUUUCUUGAAUAACGAGUUACUCCCUCAAUUUUACAAUAGAGAUAAUUUGUCAAAAUUGUGUUUUUGUAAUGUUUGUGGUCUUCUCUUUUCUUUUUCUUGAUUUGUAUUGUAUAUGCUACUCGCAUAUUUGAACAUGCAUAGGGCCUCUCAGUCUUUAACCCUGACUAUAAAAAUCCAUUGAUGGAAGUUGGGGAGGGCCGAGAUGAACAUCCGGCUCCCGGGGUCUAAGCCAUCGAGAUGGUAGAGACGAUGUUUCCAUGUCACCUACUCCAGCAGCUGGACAACGUAUAUAAAAACCAUGGAUCCUUGCUCCCCAGGCCGCAAAAUGAUCACAGUGAUGUCUACGACCUCCUCCUAGAUGUAUUAAUCUCAAUCUCAUGUUUGGUUUUCUUCCAUUUUCUCUUAUAAUGAUGCAAUUUCUUUUACUAAGAUAACGCCAUGUUUGUUGUUAAUGCCUUAUUUGAUGUAAGACCUCUUUUCUACUUUGAAUGAAUUUACUGCAUAUAUUUCUUAUUUAGUUUAGUUCAUCAUUCAGAGACAGUGGAAUAUUUUUGUCCUUCAUAGGUUAAAUGAGCACUGCGUAGUCCUUCAGAGGUUAAAUGAGCAUUGCGUAAAAGUAUGUCUAAGUUCUCUUUCUUUAAGUGCUUCAAGUAAAUGAAAUUGUUUAUUUCAAAUUUAAUACCUUUUAAUAAUAAUCAUAAUGAGAGAGGGGUAUGCUUCUCUCUCUCUCCGGGCAAAUGUUACUUUAGAAAACAUGUACUAAGAAAUAAAAAACUCUGGAAAUGUGUUUGAAUCGCACAAAAAGAGUUUGUAGUUCUUAUUCAUACUUGAAACACGUGAGGUUCUGCAAAUUAAACCAUAUUUUUUUCAAGGCGCAUAUGGAUUUAGAAGACCACAACUAAACCGACUAUAUAUACAUGGCCUGUCCUUAGUAAAGGAAACUAUUUUCAUCGCGAACAUGGCUUUAGUUGAAGGUUCUUGCAGCAUGAAACUAUUUUCAUCGACAACAUGUCUUCAGUAGGUCUCUGCGUCAUUUGGCGCAACGGGUCAACUAGUAUGAUUAAAGAUAGAGCCGGGGGCCAUAGGUUUCACUAGUGGCUUCUCUCAAGAUAGCAUAAGUAUUACGGUGGGUGAAAAAAUUACUGUCGAGCAAUUGAUAGAAAAGCGAAUAAUUAUGAGAUUAUCUAGGCAUGAUCAUGUAUAUAGGCAUCACGUCUGCAACAAGUAGACCGACUCCUGCCUGCAUCUACUACUAUUACUCCACACAUCGACCGACUCCUGCCUGCAUCUAGAGUAUUAAGUUCAUAAAGAACAGAGUAACGCAUUAAGCAAGAUGACAUGAUGUAGAUGGAUAAACUCAUGCAAUAUGAUAUAAACCCCAUCUUUUUAUCCUCGAUGGCAACAAUACAAUACGUGCCUUGCUGCCCCUGCUGUCACUGGAAAAAGACACCGCAAGAUUGAACCCAAAGCUAAGCACUUCUCCCAUGGCAAGAAAGAUCAAUCUAGUAGGCCAAACCAAACUAAUAAUUCGAAGAGACUUUCAAAGAUAACUCAAUCAUACAUAAAAGAAUUCAGAGGAGAUUCGAAUAUUUCUCAUAGAUAAACUUGAUCAUAAACCCACAAUUCAUCGGAUCUCGACAAACACACCGCAAGAAGAGUUUACAUCAAAUAGAUCUCCACAAGAGGGGGGGAGAACAUUGUAUUGAGAUCCAAAAAGAGAGAAGAAGCCAUCUAGCUAAUAACUAUGGACCCAAAGGUCUGUGGUAAACUACUCACAACUCAUCGGAGGGGCUAUGGUGUUGAUGUAGAAGCCCUCCAUGGUCGAUUCCCCCUCUGGCGGAGCGCCGACGAAGGCUCCAAGAUGGGAUCUCACGGAUACAGAAGGUUACGGUGGUGGAAAUUGUGUUUCGUUGGCUCCCUGGAUUUUUUCGGGGUACGUAGGCUUAUAUAGGAGGAAGAAGUACGUCGGUGGCCGCCCGAGGGGCCCACGAGAUAGGGGGCGCGCCCAGAGGGGGUGGGCGCGCCUUCCUGUCUCGUGGCCGCCUUGGCUGCUUCUUGACUUGGACUCCAAGUCCUCUGGAUCACGUUCGUUCCAAAAAUCUCGCUCCCAAAGGUUCCAUUCCGUUUGGACUUCGUUUGAUAUUCCUUUUCUUCGAAAUACUGAAAUAGGCAAAAAAAUAGCAAUACGGGCUGGGCCUCCGAUUAGUAGGUUAGUCCCAAAAAUGAUAUAAGUGUGUAAAAUAAAGCCCAUAAACAUCCAAAAGGGGUAAUAUAAUAGCAUGGAACAAUAAAAAAUUAUAGAUACAUUGGAGACGUAUCAAUGACACACCAUAAAAGUAAAUAGAUAGUCCCUUCGCAAAGGGAAGAAGUGAUUUGCAGCGGUGCCAGAGCUCAAGUUUUUAAAACAGAGGUAAAUGAAAUUUUGAGAAAUGCACCCUUCUUGUUUACUUCGUGACCAUUAGUUAUUGGUAUGUUCCAUGCUAAACACAUUAGUGGUGGUUCCCAAGUGAUAAAAGUAAAGGUUUACUCCCCCCACCAACAAUCACACUCCACAGCUUGUCCGAAACAAUGGGUGCCGUCCAUACCAACAAUAGUCUGAGGGAGUUUUGUUUAAUUAUUUGCAAUUUGAAUUCGGGACUGGGAGUCCCUAUUAUCGCCCCUCUCUUGCAAGGACGAGUGAAUAAACACUCAUCAUGAGCAUAACCCGCUUAGCAUGGAAGAUACUGACUACCUCCUAUCGCUCUAUGAACAAUCCAGGCACACAAAAAGGGUAUUUAUUUGAAGUUUUUAGAGGUGGCACAUGCAAAUUUACUUAGGACGACAGGGUAAUACCGCAUAUAGGUAGGUAUGGUGGACUCAUCUGGAGUAACUUGGGUUUUAUGGUUUUGAUGCACAAGCAGAAUUCCCACUUAGUAAAGCCGAAGGCUAGCAAUUAGGUUGAGAAACGGCCAGCUAGAGAGCGAAAAUGGUCAUGAACAUGCAUUAUGCAUAAGUAACAUUUGAUACUAGCAUGAGUAGGAUAUGAACACCAUGAACAUACAUAUCAUAGAGGCUAUGUUGGUUUUGAUUCAACUACAUGCAUGAACAUGCGCCAAGUCAAGCUACUCGAACGUUCAGAGGAGGAUACCAUAUCAUCAUACUACAUCACAAUCAUUUUAAUGCAAUGUUGACAUCCAAGAUAAAUCAUUAUCCACUCCUAGCUACUUAUGCAUGGCAUGAGAAACUAUAAUCUCUAAUUGUCAUUGCAAACAUGUUUGAUUAUAAUAGGCUGAAUCAUGGAUACUAAGUUAAACAUAUUUACAAAAACAGAACAAGUCGAGUUCAUAACCGUUUCUCUCUGCCAUAGCCAAUUCAUCAAAUAUCGUCAUUAUUGCCUGUCACUUGCACAACCGAACGACAUGAAAAUAAUAAUAGUGCAAGAGUGCCGUGGACUAAGCUGGAAUCUGCAAACAUUUUAUUCAAAAGGAGAAGACAAGGUAACAUGGGCUCUUUAUUAGAUCAACAAUAAUGCAUAUGAGAGCCACUCAACAUUUUCAUCGUGGUCUUCUCCUCGGUAUGACUCACAGAAAGAAAAAGAAAAUCAGAGAAACACACUGAAAUAUUUUUGGAGUUUUUGGUUUUUCUUGAACAAGCAAAUAAAAGGGAAAAACAAAAACGGGAAAAACUAUUUACAUGGGAAAGCUCCCAACAAGCAAAAGAAGAACAAGGAAAUAUUUUUGGGCUUUCUUUCUAGUACUACAACUAACUACGCCAGGAAGAAAAAUCAAAAAGAACCAGGAAAUAUUUUUGGGUUUUCUCAAAGUUUUUCAAAUACACAAGAAGAAGGCGAGAAAAUAAAUCUAGCAUCUAUUAUACAAUGAAAAAGUGUGGACACCAACAACUGGAAUGAAAUGUGUGAGCAUGAAAGUAACGUCGGUGGAAAUGCGUACUCCCCCAAGCUUAGGCUUUUGGCCUAACUUGGUAAUCACCACUUGAAGAAGCCAUGAGGUCCUACGUUGAAGUGCUGGGGAGCAGGCACCUGAGGAUCCCACUUCUGAGGCUCCUCCAGCGCCACAACCAGGUUUUUCCGAUAGGCAACUGUCGGCGUUCUGGGAACGGGGGUCCCCAGACUUGCUUGCCUGCGGCGUGGCUCAGGUGGUCGCCCAGUACGGCCCGUCUUCAUCAGCACAAGACUCAAGACCCUCGCAAGGGGCCAAGCCUCACGGGGUGAACGACGCAAGGCUUCCUUAGGGACGGCCUCGCCAGGCAGGCUCGCGAGGAGGCGGAGAGAUCAAGGCAGGGUACCUCAUGAGGUGCUCGUGAUGCAAGCCAUGACGAUCGAGGCCAGGCAGGCGCCAGGCGGGCGCCGGCCUGCGCAGUGUCCUUGUUUCCUCUUUGGUGCAAAGGGGGAAAGCACAGACAUGGAGUACCGAGGCAUCAGGCAAAGGUUGCCAUUUCGGUGCAACGAGACCAAGACCAGCGGAGCGCCAGGAUGGAGGUCACCGUGGAUCCCAAGGCGGCAUCAUCGCCAGUGCUUUUGGCAGCCGAAGACCAACUUUAGUCAGGAUAACUUGUACUGGAUGUUCCCCUUCGAAAUGGCCGUUGUUGGCGCCCUUCCCGCUCAAUAUUUGGGGAGAGGCCCAAGGCCUCUAUAAAUAGGAAGUCUAGAGAGAGAGAGAGAGGCGAUCAAACUCACCCGAGCAGUUCAUCGCAUCAGCCCAAGAACACCUCUCGCGAGGCUGUUCUCCCUUUGUACUGUUCAUCAUCAGCCCCUGAGGCAAUCCACCACACCACACACUGGAGUAGGGUAUUACACCACAACGGUGGCCCGAACCAAUUAAAUCUCGUGUCCCUUAUGUUGCUCAUUGUUUCCAGCUUAGAUCUCACGAGGCGAUCGGACGUAGAUCGGUAGGGGAGAGAUCUCCGUGCGCAUCCCAGAGUUCGAACCUUAAGGGUCUGCCGGAACCCAACAUCCGACAUUUGGCGCGCCAAGUAGGGGGUGCGCCGGAGCUCUCCCUUCCGUCGACCCGUUCCCCCAUCAACACCACGCUCUGCCCACAUGGUGGCCAACGCACCGCCCGCCCCAGCUGUUGACACCGACGCGGAGACCGGGGGGCUCCGAGCCCUGGCCCCCGCCUUACGGCGGGUGCAGUGACCGCACAAGUUCAAGCCGGACAUGCCACCGCGCUACGACGGUGCGGCCGACCCGCAGGCCUUCCUGUUGGCAUACGAAGAAGCCGUCCUCAAGGCCGGAGGCGACGACAAGGUCAUGGCGAACUGGCUGCCCAUGGCCCUCACCGGCGUCCCGCACAUGUGGCUGCUCCACCUGCCAGCGGCUUCUAUGGCCUCCUGGGAGGAGUUGCGCAACCUCUUCCUCGCCCAUCAUGCUGCGCCGGCACCUCAAGUCGUCGCGGCCAUCCUGGGCGGAUCGCAUGCGCCACCUUCGAGCCGCCACAUCAAGCCGUUCGUCCGCCAGAUUGGCGCCGCCCUUAAGAGCCGAGAAACUCCCCCGGGCUGGGUGCCACCCAGGGCCGAUUUGACCUUCAGCUCAGAUGAUCACCCCUCCAACACCGCCUGUGCGGGCGCGCUCCCGAUGCUAUGCACCCCCACCAUUUGCCAAGUGGCCGUCACCAGGACCCUCAUCGACAGUGGUGCCGGCCUCAACGUGCUCUCGGUGGAGGCCUUCAGCCUCCUUCACGUGCCGCUAGAGCGGCUUCAACCUAGCAGGCCCUUCUUGGGCGUCGGAGACGGUUCCACCGGCUCCCUGGGGCAGAUCCGCCUCCCGGUGACCUUCGGCACCCACACAACUUUCGCACGGAGUUGAUCGACUUCGACAUCGCCCCCAUCGGCCUCCCGUACAAUGCCAUCCUCGGCUACCCAGCCUUGGCCCAGUUCAUGGCAGCGACUCACCUGUCAUACAACCUCAUGAAGAUGCCCGGGAGCAGCGGAAUCCUUACCGUGUCUGGAGACACAAGGGAUGCGCUGCAGGCGCUCAAGCUUGCCUUCAAGGUAGCCGCGGCGGUGCAGCCCGCCAGCGCAGAUGUCCUCGAGCCCAAGGGGGCUGCACCGGCUAAGAAGAAGCAGCUAUUCAGCCAAGACAAGGCGGAGACCAAGCAGGUACCGGUCGAUGAGGAUGGAUACACUGGCGCCACCUUCACCAUAGGCGCCAACCUUGAGCCUGAGCAGGAGGAGGCCCUGGUCAGGUUCCUACGCGCAAACAAGAAGGUGUUUGCAUGGGAGCCUAAUCAGCUGGUAGGGGUCCCAAGAGAUGUAAUUGAACAUCAUCUCAAUGUGUGCCCCAACGUGCGCCCCGUGAGGCAGAAGGCAAGGCGGCAGUCCACUGAAAAGCAGGCCUUCAUCGUCCAAGAAACCCGCAAGUUAGAGGCAGCAGGAGUCAUUUGUGAGGUCCGCUACCUUGAUUGGCUGGCCAACCCUGUUGUCGUGCCAAAAAAGGGAGGAAAGGAAUGCAUGUGUGUUGAAUUCACCAUCCUCAACAAGGCCUGCCCACAGGAUCCAUUCCCGCUCCCUCGCAUCGACCAGAUCGUCGACUCUACCGCUGAGUGUGACCUAUUGUGCUUCCUGGAUGCCUUCUCGUGCUAUCACCAGAUCAAGAUGGCGGUAGAAGACGUGGAGAAAACGGCCUUCCUAACCCCGUGUGGAGUAUACUGCUAUACCUGCAUGCCAUUUGGGUUGCGCAACGCAGGCGCGACCUUUCAGCGGCUGAUGCACAUCGCCUUGGGCCGGCAGCUCGGGAGGAACGCUGAAGCUUACGUCGAUGACAUUGUGGUGAAGUCUCGGGAGGCAAAAAUCCUGAUACAGGACCUGGAAGAAACCUUCACAAGCCUCAAUGAAGUGGACCUGCGGCUCAACCUGGAGAAGUGCUUGUUCGGAGUCCCCUCGGGCAAGCUCCUGGGCUUCCUCGUGUCCCACAAGGGCAUCGAGGCUAACCCAAAGAAGGUCAAGGUGGUCAAAGACAUGAGCCCGCCGAAGACUAUCAGAGAAAUGUAGAAGCUCACCAGGCGAGUAACCGCAUUAGGGCGUUUCAUCUCCAAGCUGGGGGAGCGAGCACUGCCCUUCUUCAAGCUGAUGAAGAAGAAAGGCCCCUUCGAAUGGACUAAAGAGGCCGACAAGGCAUUCCAAGAUCUCAAGAGGUACCUUACCAGCCCUCGGGUGAUGGUAGCUCCGCGCCCUCGGGAGCCCUUGGCGCUCUACCUUGCGGCCACCCCCUAUUCCUCCAGUGCAACCUUGGUGGCGGUUAGAGAGGAGCGCAGGGCCAAGGCCGCAGCUGCCGUCCCAGCCGGGGUAGAGCAAAGCCCGGAAGGCCUCGCGAAGACCACAACCGCAGUAGAAAAGGAUCAGCCUCAGCAGGGGAGCGCACCCAGAGCAGAGGAGGCCUCUCCAGGCGACCAAGCGUUGGGGCCUCCAUCACCUCAGGAGGCGCCUCAACCUCCGGAGGACGCAAGCUGCGCCAGUACCCUCAACCUCGUCGAGCACCCUGUCUACUUCGUUAGCACGGUGCUAUGGGACGCGAGGGCGCGGUAUCCCAUGCCCCAAAAACUCCUCCUCGCACUGUUGGUGGCCUCGCGCAAGCUGCGGCACUACUUUCAAGGCCAUUCCAUCAAGGUCGUCUCAUCAUACCCCUUGGAAAGGGUACUCAAGAGCCCCAACUCAGCUGGGAGAGUUGCUCAAUGGAACAUCGAACUGCAAGCGUUUCAGCUGGAAUUCAGCACGACCAGGGUUAUCAAGGGAGCCGCACUUGCAGAUUUCAUGGCGGAAUGGGCAGAGGCACAGGGGCUCAAAGCGGGCGAGGACCGGUCGCUUUCCCCAGGAAGUGAAGCCCCGAACGGCCGGGUCAUGUACUUCGACGGAGCAUUCUCGCGACAGGGCGCGGUGGCUAGCGCAGUGCUCAUAUCCCCCACUCAGGACAAGCUCUACUAUGCUGUGCAACUUUGCUGUCAGCAUGGAGAGAAGGUCUCCAACAACAUAGCAGAAUACGAGGGCCUGAUAGCGGGCUUGAAAGCUGCAGUCACCUUGGGGGUAAAGCGCCUCAUCAUCAAGGGCGAUUCACAACUCCUCGUCAACUUCUCCAACAAGGUAUACGAGCCUAAGGACGAGCACAUGGAAGCGUAUCUCGCGGAAGUCCGCGGGAUGGAGAAACAGUUUUGGGGGCUGGAGUUGCAACAUGUGCCUUGCGACACCAAUCAAAAGGCUGAUGACAUCGCAAAGAGGGCGUCCAGGUGGCUUCCUCAGGAGCCCGGCGUCUUCGAGGAGCGACUCUUCAAACCCUCGGCAUCGCCAUCACUAUCAAGCACAACACAGCCUAGGGAGGAGCUCCCUCAACCGCCUACCUCGGGAGCCCCGGCCUGCGGCCCAACCUCAGGGGCACGCUUGCUCCUGGCGCUGGAGCCUCAAGAGGGGUGUUGGACCGCGGAGUUCAAGGAUUACUUGAUGCAAGGGACCCUGCCGGACAAGGAGGAGGACGCGGAGCUCGUGGCGCGGCAGGCCACGGCCUACUACAUCCAAGACGGAGAGCUCUACCGAAAGCGGCCAAAUGACGUUACUCUACGUUGUAUCUCCAGGGAGCAGGGAAAGGAGCUGCUGGCAGACAUUCACGGUGGAGACUACGGGCACCACUCGUCUUCGCGCACACUCGUCGGCAAGGCAUUUCACAGCGGUUUCUAUUGGCCAACAGCACUCAACUACGCAAUCGAGCUGGUGAAGGAUUGUGAAGCCCGUCAGUUCCAUGCCAAGCAGAUUCACCAGCCAACUCAGGGCCUUCAGACCAUUCCCCUCUCGUGGCCGUUCGCUGUUUGGGGAUUGGACAUCCUUGGCCCAUUUCCUCGGGCGCCAGGGGGCUAUCGCUACCUUUAUGUUGCCAUUGACAAAUUCACUAAGUGGGCCGAAGUGGAAGCUGUCCGUGCCUUCCUGGCUGGCUCAGCAGUCAAGUUCAUCAGGGGCCUCGUGAGCCGGUUUGGGGUACCCAAUCGCAUCAUCUCUGACAACGGUUCACAGUUCACCAGCAAUCUCUUCAAAAGAUAUUGUGCUAACCUUGGAACGCAGAUAUGCUACGCUUCGGUGGCGCACCCUCAGAGCAACAGCCAGGCUGAGCGCGCCAUAGCGGAGGUCCCGAAGGGCCUCAAAACCUGAACCUUCAAGAAGAAGCUGGAGGCCUGCGGCAGGGGCUGGCACAAUGAGCUCCAGUCCGUGCUAUGGUCCAUCUGUACUACCGCUACCAAGUCGACCGGCGAAACCCCGUUCUUCCUCGUCUACGGUGCUGAGGCGUUCCUUCCUCACGAGGUCAGGCAUCGCUCCGCGCGGGUCCUGACUUUCGACGAAGCACAGCAGGACGCCAUGCGGGCGGUGGACCUCGUGCUUGGGGAGGAACAUCGUCGGGAGGCUGCGCUUCGGGCUACGAGAUACCAACAAGCACUGCAGCGAUACCACUGCCGCAGCAUCCACCCCAGGACCCUUGAGGUAGGUGACCUCGUGCUCAGACGGGUGCUCUCCAGGGAGGGGCUGCACAAGCUCUCGCCUAUGUGGGAGGGCCCGUUCAAGGUUGUUCAUGUCUCUAGGCCCGGCACUGCAUGCUUGGAGACUCAGGAGGGGGUGCCCAUCCCGAACGCGUGGAACAUCCAGCUUCUCCGGAAGUUCCACCCUUGAAGAAAGGCCCAGAGCCUGUAAAGAAGGCCCGGCGCCUGUGAAGCUAGACGAACCAAGAAAGGCCCGGUGCCUGUGAAGCUCAUUUCCCUGAGAAAGGCCCGGAGCCUGUGAAGAAGGCCAAUGCCUGUGAAGCUCGCCGCCCGUGACACUCUCACGUAAUAAUGAGUUGGGGCUGUACACGCCCCGGAGUCUCCGGAGAGCCGCCCACGGGCCUCGGGGGCUCCUGCCCACGCCUAGUGGCAGCACUUAGCUCCGCGCUGGUGAGAAGACGUCGAAGACUAGAUUAGCACCGGACGCGGCUUUUUCAUUUGCUUUCUGCAGUUGGCUUGUUCGUUCCUGUUUGAAGUUUCAUUGGAGUUGUUGCCGUCCUUAGCUUGUGACUCUUUGUCUUUUUCGCUCGCUUCCCUCGUUUUCUCUCGCGCAAGUCUCGCGAGGGGGCUACGCGGGCACCCUCGCGAGUGUUUUCUGCCCCGGUCGUUUGAAGCUUUCCUAUCCAAGUCCACUAUGGGAGCACCCCUCCCAGUCCGUGCCCUAUGGGCAUCGCAACGUGAACACAUGACCUGGGUCGGUCGCCUCCACAACCGAGACCGGAAACUACCCCUCCUGACUAAUCCUUGCAGGACAUGAAGCAUGCGGCGCGGCCUCAGCCUCGGGAAGCGAAGACCGCGAUGAGUUCCCCCGAGCUAAGUAAUUCCUGCACGCGGGCAUGCGGCACCAAAAACACAGCACAGAAAUAGCGGAAACAUCAUGAUAAUUAACAGCAACAGUUCAACACGCCCCCACGGGGCCCUACACUACUUUCUCUUUGCGCAGGGAAGGGAGAAAAACAAAAUAGGCACGACUUGCUCGGCACCAACUCGCGGCGAGGGCUCGUACUACCUCCGGAGCUCAGUUAGCCUCCUCCUCGCGCUUCACCGAGGCACGACGGCGGACUGACCCGCUACCUCCCUCCAGGUGGGCGCGAUGGUGCGGAGGCCGAUCGCGGCCACCGCUGUAGGAGCUGCUGUCCGAAGGGGAGCCGCCGAAGCUUGACGAGCCCCGAGCACCGCCGACCACGCGCAUGCCGUCAUCUUCAUCUCGAUCAUCGCUGGGGCUGGGUACAUGGCCGCGGUCAUCGUCUUCGGGGCAGCACCCAGCACGGCGACCGUCCUCUAUGAACACCCUCACGUAGAGGGUGGCAUCGCCGUCGAACUUGAAGUGCAGGGUGCACCCCUGGCUCAUGCCACGCGCACGGGCAAACGUUUGCCAGCCGCAGGUCAGGGCCGCAUUCCCAGCGACGGAGACCUCCAACGAAGCCCAGGAGGCCCUGCUGCAGCAACCGUCCGCCUGAAGCUAGAGGCCGGCCGGAGCGCCGGUCGGAAGUUCGCACUACAAAGAAGCGGGGAAACUGGAGCCAGGUGCUGGUCGGAUCUGCCGACCACACGACGAACUCCGGCAGCACCUGCGCCGAGUGGAAGCACGGUCUAGGGGGCCGCGCAGUCACGGCGCGCCUCCCAUCGACAACUUGGCGCCCAUCGCCGCGCAGGGGAUCGCCCCCACGACCGCGGGAAGCCACUACGGGAGCCACAGGAUGCUUGCAAGGACGGCCUCGAAUGCGCUUGGCCGGGGGAGAGUCAGGCCCUUCCCGACGAGCCUUUCCCUUCUCUGCGGCUAAGAACCUCUUCGGUGGCGCCAUGGGGGAUGAAGAGUAGCUGGGAUGGAGAGAAAGAAGGAAGCAAGGAGGGAGAUGCACAGCGGAGGCCUACGCACUCCUGCAUUUAUAACCGGAAGGAAGCCAACUGUCGGCCCCCACGUUCGCAGGUAAUCAUGACCCGUUUCUGCAUGCAGGGACUUGUCAAGUCGAGCGGUCGCCGAGGCAGCGUGGGGAAGCGGAGAUGCCCACAUCCAAUCAACCGCCAUGCGGCACCCAAGGCCGCAGGCUAAUGGGCCCGCGGCGCUCCACACUUGCCCCACGCUUCUCCACUAAGCCAAGUCCGAGCGCGCCUUGGGCCCGGGGCUACUGUCGGCAUUCUAGGAACAGGGGUCCCAGACUUGCCUGCCUGUGGCCUGCGGCGUGGCUCGGGUGGUGGCGCAGUACGACCCAUCUUCAUCAGCACAAGACUCAAGACCCUUGCGAGGGGCCAAGCCUCGCGGGGCGAACGACGCAAGGCUUCCUCAGGGAUGGCCUCGCCAGGCAGGCUCGCAAGGAGGCGGAGAGAUCAAGACAGGGUACCUCACGAUGUGCUCGUGACGCAAGCCAUGACGAUCGAGGCCAGGCGGGCGCCGGCCUGCGCAGUGUCCUUGUUUCCUCUUUGAUGCAAAGGGGGCAAGCACAGACGUGGAGUACCGAGGCAUCAGGCAAAGGUUGCCAUUUCAGUGCAACGAGACCAAGACCAGCGGAGCGGUAGGAUGAAGGUCACCGUGGAGCCCAAGGCGGCGUCAUCGCCAGUGCUUUUGGCAGCCGAAGACCAACUUUAGUUAGGAUAACUUGUACUGGAUGUUCCCCUUCGAAAUGGCCGUUCUUGGCGCCCUUCCCGCUCAGUAUUUAGGGAGAGUCCUGAUAAGCACAUUUCUUAUAUACUAUUUGGGCACACAAAUUCACCUUUUAUUGAGAUAUAUCCAUCCAUUCUUGCUAUGACUUUUUGAAUAUUCGAAUGAUAAUCAUAAAAGAGAAUGUUGACUAGUGAAUUGUUUAUUUUGCAGAAAAGUGCGCAAAGGCACUAUAAUCGUCAAGACUUCUACUAUGUGGCUAACGAGAAGAGAGAAGGGCAUGAAAGAAAUACGUCAAGGCUUGAGCGUGAAGGAAAGAAGUAAUGUAGGGGAGCAAACUAAAAGAAGAGGAGGAUCUUCUUGGGAAGAAAGAAGAAAGGAGGAGGGCCAAAGUAAAAAAAGACAGAACAGAGGAGGGGAUCAAAAAUCCCUAGCGCAGCCGAUCCCCAUCAGGCCUGCAUCUCACCUCUCUCCCUCACCCCUCCUUCUCCACCACCGGCCGUCGCCGCGGCCAGGCCGGCGUGGCGGUGCGCCUGCUGCUCCUCCACUCAGCCACGAGCACCAUCCGCCGCACCAUCCAUCCAUCCCAGCCGCGCCGUGCCAUCCAUCCACCACUCCACCAGCGUCACUAGCUCCACUUCACCACCGCGCCUCACCAGCGCCCACCUCGCGCGCCCCUCCUGCCGCUUCCUCUCUGAACCCGCUGUUGCUGCUGCAUCUUCCUUCUUCCUCUCGACCUCCUGUUGCUCUUCUCCAAGCACCGCUGCUGCUCCUUCCUUGCAACCCCCCUGCUGUUGUUCAUCCUCUCCACCUCCUUGCGCCUCCCUGCCGGUACCCUUCUCUGCUCAAAACUGCUGCUGCUUGUGCACUCCAGCUUCUCCUUCUUCUCCUGCCUACUGCUGGUUCUUCUUCCCCACAUCACUUUUGCUGCUCCUCUUCUCUGCCUCGCUACUGUUCUUCUUACCUGAACCUCAAAAUUGCUGCUGUUCUCUUCUAAACAACAAAACUGCUGCUACUACUACCUCAACCUCCUAUUGCUUUCUUUCUUUCUCACUCUCUUUUAAAUUUCUGUAAGAUUGAGACGCAUGUGAUUUGUAUUAUUCAGAUUUGAUAAGUGUUAGUAAUCUACUGUUGUUCAGUUCAGACUUCCUGUGUGUGUUAAUUAGUUAAAAUUGUCACUUGUGUACUGCUUGUUGCAGAUUCUUGCUCAUUUUUGUUGUCUAUGUGUUAGCUCAUGCAUCUGAGAAUUAUAAAGACAUAUGUGUGUGUGGUUGAUGUGAAACAAUUAUAUAUAUGUCUCAUGUUUGUUAGUUAGUGGUUUGUAUAAAUUCAGAUUACUACUUGUGAUUUAAUUUUGUAUUGAAAUUGUUCUCUGUGGUAGUCAGUUGUGUGAUCAUUCAAUUUUCAGUCUAUGUAUUAGCUCUGUACCUGUAAUAUAUGUUGUGACAUGAAGCAUUUUCAUCCUUGUCCAUUAUCUUGUUUCUUCACUCUGUCAUACGCUUGUUAGAUAAAUAUAUGUGUUCAUGUCCUGUUGUUCCCUUUUGUGUUAGCAUUUUAGUUUCUCAAGUAACAGGAAAACACCAAAAAAGACAAUAUAGACAAUCUGAACCUCCCCUUUGCUUAUUUUACAUUUUCUUUGGCGACGAUCUUCGGGAACUACCUUGUUAGUUUAGGUUUAUUUUCUUGCAUUUAUAAUCUGAGUUCUGUCACCUAGCUUUAGCCGAGCAUUGUUGCUGUCGCCUAGUCCCUGUGGAGAACACGACACUCACAGUUCGGGUGAAAUAUCCCGCAGUACUUUCAAUCGAUCAUUUUGGCGCCGUUGCCGGGGACUAGCGUCGUGUGACCGUGUUAGGCUAUAGACUAGGUUUUGCUUCUGUUUCUAUCUGGUGCCAUAUAUUUGUGAUAUAUCUCUUACCCCUAACCACUGUUCUAGUUAUCUUCUCUUUCUUUUCUUGUUCAUUUUGUAGGUUGAAUUGUCUUCUCGGAUAUGGCUUACUAUUCAGAUCAUCAUGCUUAUGCGAGCAACACUACAAACAACACGGAAAGUAUUCAAGAACUGAUAAGUAAGAUUUCCCAUCAAUUAGAUGAUUUAGCUCAGCAGCGAGGAGUAGUUUUUGAGGAUAGGCCUAGUUCUUAUUAUCCUUAUUCCGGAAGCAAUCCUUAUGUUGCUCCUACAUGCCAUAUUUGUGGAUUUCAGGGCCAUUCGCCCGCUGAAUGUCAGCGUGGUUACUCUCACACUCCAGAUUGUUUUGGCAUGAGCUUCGCUCAAGAGCAUAGCUCAUACCAAAACAAUUACUCACAUGGGUGUCCUGAAAACCCGAAUAUGUCAUAUAGGAGCAACAACCCCGAGAUCUCACCGCUUGCUUCUAGUAAUCAUAUGCAGGGAUUUAGGUAUGAAGAGGAGAGCCACAGCUAUGCUCCACAACAGUCUUAUUCAGCUCCUAUUCAUAUACCUCAGCACGAGGAGAUGUUGCCAAUGGAGUUAAAUGGUCCUCCAUUUGGUCAACCAACACCUUCAACACAAGUGCCUACUCAAGAUGAGUUUGAUGACAUAGACAAGUUCACACUUUUGAGUCUUGAGUUCAGUUGGAGUGCCGAGGAUGAUCCUAUUAGGAAGGUUAUACUAGAUGAAAUGAAGAAGAUCAAGAGUGGGAAUGAGCUAGUGGAAGAAGUAAAGAAGAUUGAGAAGAACAUCAACGCUGGCAGCUCUAUUUCUUCACAGCUAGAGCUGAGUGUUGCUGAGAUUCCCCUUGAUACAUGUGAGGUUCCAACACCUUCACAUUUCGUUGAGCAAGUUAGCAAGUGCCUUGAGCAAGAGAUACCUCAGAUUGAAGAAGAUGAACUAGAAGACAAGGACCAAGAUGGUCAAGAGCUGCAAUUCCCAAGUGAUCAAGUUGAAGACUCAUCAUCUACUACUGAAGAACUACAAGAAGCUGCUGUAGAUAAAGAUGAAGAUCAUGAGAUUCAUUUGCCUAUUGUCAUACCAGAGCGUGAUGUGUCAGGUUUACUCAAUCCUCUUGAUGACAUGAUGCCUUGUGAUUUCUUUGCUACUACCUUGCUUUACAUGAUACUAUCACUUAAGAUUGAUUUGAAAACUCAUUUGCUUGGAUAUGAUGAUAUAUACCCUGUUAGUGGUAUUACUCUCAUUUGUGAUGAUCAUAGUUACUUUCCUCGUGCUAAUCCUAUGCUUAAUGAAACAUAUCACUCCCAUGCUAGUCUUGCACUUAAUGAUAAAUGUCAUCCUCGUGUGAGUAUUGACCAUGCUGAUUUCUGCCAUCCUAAACAUGUGCUUUAUAGUUAUGCUUAUAUAAUUGGAUAUUCCAUUGAUGACUUGGAGGGCAUCGACCGUAUCACUUGUAGUUGUUUGUGUGAGUCCUAUUUCAGGCUUUUGCUACUGCACUGUUUACUACAUGCUGACCAGGUUUGAGGUGACAUUCCUUGGGAUCCUGGUGGAGUCACAGCAUGGCGAUGAGGGGAGCACAAACAGGGAACACAAACAGAGAAGAGUGGAGAGAAGAAAGUAGGAGAGAAGAGUAUACAAAUACCAGGUGAUUCUGUUCCACUUGAAGCAACCUUUAGAAAAUUUAGUACGAGAACUGGCAUUUUAUUGCAUUGAAACGCUUUUUGCAUUGUGACACCUUACUCUUCACUGCAAAGUAGGAUUCACUCCAAGAAGAUUGUUGAUUCUCUUAAUACUAAAACUAUGCAGCAGUAUUCUUCUUAUGGUAAUUUGUGAUAAUGAAUACUUUAUACCUCCAUGUAAAUGUUCAAUGGGAAUGCCUUGAGUCUAAGUGAAACCUACUAAUGAAUUGAUGUGCUGUGUCUGACUGUCCCACGUUAAGCUAAGUAACUGGUGGCACUUAAGUAGUAGCUAUGAUCUCUGGAUCUGUAGUAUGUGAAAAACAGUGCCAUUAGUUAUGGAUUCCUCUUUCAAUUAUUCCUGUUUUACUUAAGCUAAGUAAUUUUCAAAUAACUAAAUAAAAUAAUUAUAAUAUUUUAAGUCCGAUCGACCUAUAGUAGCAUGUCAUGUUCCCUGGAUCGGUGGCUUGUGAAAUCUGGUAGAUUGGACUCUAAAAAAAAAUUAUAUAAAAAUGCUAUAAUUUGUCGAACCAGGUGUAUACCAUGUUCUCGGGAUCGGUGGUAUGUUCCUUUGGGGAGAUAACAAAAAAAUAUACUAAUAAUUUGGUCGAGCCAGGUGUAUACCAUGUUCUCGGGAUCGGUGGUAUGUUCCUUUGGUGAGACUGAUAUAAUAUCAUCACUUGUGCUUUAAAUUCAAUAAGUAACUUGUUUUUCUAAUUGAUUUUGGGGUCCCAGCUUAUCUCAGGGCUGAAGACAGAGCCAGCUCUUGAUUAUUAGUAUUCACUUUGACUCAAGGCCAUUGACUUGGAACAUUUACAGUGUGUUAUAAAAUAUUUCUUAUCACAAUUUAGCUUCAGUAGAGUACAUUUGCUUAGUUCCAGUAUUGUCGGAAUUACUAUCUAUCGGAAAGUGCAUAUUUACUAGGCAGUGUGAGUUGUGUCACCAUCAAAUUUUUUUUCCUUUGCUCGAGGACAAGCAAAGAUUUAAGUGUGGGGGAACUUGAUAAGCACAUUUCUUAUAUACUAUUUGGGCACACAAAUUCACCUUUUAUUGAGAUAUAUCCAUCCAUUCUUGCUAUGACUUGUUGAAUAUUUGAAUGAUAACCAUAAAAGAGAAUGUUGACUAGUGAAUUGUUUAUUUUGCAGAAAAGUGCGCAAAUGCACUAUAAUCGUCAAGACUUCUACUAUGUGGCUAACGAGAAGAGAGAAGGGCAUGAAAGAAAUACGUCAAGGCUUGAGCGUGAAGGAAAGAAGUAAUGUAGGGGAGCAAACUAAAAGAAGAGGAGGAUCUUCUUGGGAAGAAAGAAGAAAGGAGGAGGGCCAAAGUAAAAAAAGACAAAACAGAGGAGGGGAUCAAAAAUCCCUAGCGCAGCCGAUCCCCAUCAGGCCUCGCAUCUCACCUCUCUCCCUCACCCCUCCUUCUCCACCACCGGCCGUCGCCGCGGCCAGGCCGGCGUGGCGGUGCGCCUGCUGCUCCUCCACUCAGCCACGAGCACCAUCCGCCGCACCAUCCAUCCAUCCCAGCCGCGCCGCGCCAUCCAUCCACCACUCCACCAGCGUCACCAGCUCCACUUCACCACCGCGCCUCCACCAGCGCCCACCUCGCGCGCCCCUCCUGCCGCUUCCUCUCUGAACCUGCUAUUGCUGCUGCAUCUUCCUUCUUCCUCUUGACCUCCUGUUGCUCUUCUCCAAGCACCGCUGCUGCUCCUUCCUUGCAACCCCCCUGUUGUUGUUCAUCCUCUCCACCUCCUUGCGCCUCCCUGCCGGUACCCUUCUCUGCUGAAAACUGCUGCUGCUUGUGCGCUCCAGCUGCUCCUUCUUCUCCUGCCUACUGCUAGUUCUUCUUCCCCACAUCACUUUUGCUGCUCCUCUUCUCUGCCUCGCUACUGUUCUUCUUACCUGAACCUCAAAAUUGUUGCUGUUCUCUUCUAAACAACAAAACUGCUGCUACUACUACCUCAACCUCCUGUUGCUUUCUUUCUUUCUCACUCUCUUUGAAAUUUCUGUAAGAUUGAGACGCAUAUGAUUUGUAUUAUUCAGAUUUGAUAAGUGUUAGUAAUCUACUGUUGUUCAGUUCAGACUUCCUGUGUGUGUUAAUUAGUUAAAAUUGUCACUUCUGUACUGCUUGUUGCAGAUUCUUGAUCAUUUUUGUUAUCUAUGUGUUAGCUCAUGCAUCUGAGAAUUAUAAAGACUGUGUGGUUGAUGUGAAACAAUUAUAUAUAUGUCUCCUGUUUGUUAGUUAGUGGUUUGUAUAAAUUCGGAUUACUACUUGUGAUUUAAUUUUGUAUUGAAAUUGUUCUCUGUGGUAGUCAGUUGUGUGAUCAUUCAAUUUUCAGUCUAUGUAUUAGCUCUGUAC